GAUGUACUUGCGCUUCUCGUUGCAGCUGGGGUCGCUGGCGCACGUGGGCAUGGCCGUCGCCACGUGGAACAGCACCUGCGCAGCCGGACCGGACACUGGUGGAUUACUGGUGGUAGGACCUCUUGAGUUCGCGCGGUGUGCGUCGCGUUGUGAGCGGCGGCGGCGGUACCUGCAUGAUGUCGUCGGUCCACACGUAGGUGUACCGACCGUCCUUGCCGCCCUUCUCCAGGUUGAGGAACAGCUCCGGGUGCUCCUGCUCGUCCUCGCCUUCCAGCGACACCAGGGUGCCGAGCUGCGUCAGGAACUCGGAGUAUCUGUAAACGAAAACCGUGUUUUAUUCUACUACCCACCCUGAUAUAUUCCUUAACAACGUUAGUAGAAAUAAAUUGCAAUUUGACUUUGUGCGGGAGAAAUGUUUUUUUUCUCCUACCUACGUCGAAAGUUCGUUUUUCCUCCCGCUGCUUUACAGGGAAUAAAGUCUAUCUUUUCCUCGCUGGGUACAAUUGCGCAUGCGCGUUAGUGUCUACGUCUGCUCUCACGCAUCUAAAAUUCUCCGCCAUUGUUGUGCCCGGGUCAUUUGCAUUAUUAUGUUUAGUGUAAAAGUGAAAUAAACAAAAUGCAAUAAAAUUUGAUACUAAAGUAUUAAACAAA